UACGGAGGAUGCAAGCGUUAUCCGGAAUGAUUGGGCGUAAAGCGUCCGCAGGUGGCUAUGUAAGUCUGCUGUUAAAGAGUGAGGCUCAACCUCAUAAGAGCAGUGGAAACUACAUGGCUAGAGUGCGUUCGGGGCAGAGGGAAUUCCUGGUGUAGCGGUGAAAUGCGUAGAGAUCAGGAAGAACACCGGUGGCGAAGGCGCUCUGCUAGGCCGCAACUGACACUGAGGGACGAAAGCUAGGGGAGCGAAUGGG
rnacentral:rRNA from 1 species